GGCAGUUCUCGGGUGUUGCUCCCCGGAAUCAGGCUCCCUCCCCUCUGGUCCCGGCGUGCGUCACCUGAGAACCACC
rfam:Myotis lucifugus cont2.38791, whole genome shotgun sequence.